rnacentral:rRNA from 1 species
UACGAAGGGGGCUAGCGUUGCUCGGAAUCACUGGGCGUAAAGCGCACGUAGGCGGCUUUCUAAGUCAGGGGUGAAAUCCUGGAGCUCAACUCCAGAACUGCCUUUGAUACUGGAGAGCUCGAGUCCGGAAGAGGUGAGUGGAACUCCGAGUGUAGAGGUGAAAUUCGUAGAUAUUCGGAAGAACACCAGUGGCGAAGGCGGCCCACUGGUCCGGUACUGACGCUGAGGUGCGAAAGCGUGGGGAGCAAACAGG